rnacentral:piRNA from 1 species
UGAGUCACAGGGGUCAUGCUGAAGGG